rnacentral:rRNA from 1 species
AGUAAGGAAUAUUGGGCAAUGGCCGCAAGGCUGACCCAGCCAUGCCGCGUGCAGGAAGACGGCCUUAUGGGUUGUAAACUGCUUUUGUCAGGGAGUAAAUCCUUAUACUUGUAUAAGGUUGAAAGUACCUGAAGAAUAAGCAUCGGCUAACUCCGUGCCAGCAGCCGCGGUAAUACGGAGGAUGCGAGCGUUAUCCGGAUUCAUUGGGUUUAAAGGGUGCGCAGGCGGGCUAAUAAGUCAGGGGUGAAAUUCCACGGCUCAACUGUGGGGCUGCCUUUGAUACUGUUAGUCUUGAGUUUAGUUGAGGUGGGCGGAAUGUAGCAUGUAGCGGUGAAAUGCAUAGAUAUGCUACAGAACACCGAUAGCGAAGGCAGCUCACCAAGUUAUAACUGACGCUCAUGCACGAAAGCGUGGGGAUCAAACAGGAUUAGAUACCCUGGUAGUCCACGCUGUAAACGAUGAUCACUCGUUGUUGGCGAUACAAGUCAGCGGCUAAGCGAAAGUGAUAAGUGAUCCACCUGGGGAGUACGAUCGCAAGGUUGAGAACUCAAAGGAAUUGACGGGGGCCCGCACAAGCGGUGGAGCAUGUGGUGUAAUUCGAUGAUACGCGAGGAACCUUACCUGGGCUUGAACGCUUGAUGUUAUUGGGAGAAAUCUCAAGUCCCUUCGGGGCGUUGAGCGAGGUGCUGCAUGGUUGUCGUCAGCUCGUGCCGUGAGGUGUCGGGUUAAGUCCCAUAACGAGCGCAACCCUUAUCAUUAGUUGCCAUCAGGUAAAGCUGGGGACUCUAGUGAAACUGCCUACGCAAGUAGAGAGGAAGGUGGGGAUGACGUCAAAUCAGCACGGCCCUUACGUCCAGGGCUACACACGUGCUACAAUGGCCGGUACAGAGGGCAGCCACCUGGUGACAGGGAGCGAAUCUCGAAAGCCGGUCUCAGUUCGGAUCGAAGUCUGCAACCCGACUUCGUGAAGCUGGAAUCGCUAGUAAUCGCGCAUCAGCCAUGGCGCGGUGAAUACGUUCCCGGGCCUUGUACACACCGCCCGUCAAGUCAUGGGAGCCGGGGGUACCUGAAGUCGGUAACCGAAAAGGAGCCGCCUAGGGUAAACUUGGUGACUGGGGCU